GGGUGAGGGAGAGGCUCCCCAUAGCCUUGGUAGUGACUGAUCUAGAUUCCCUAAUGAGGCAUUUGAAAUUAUGUCUGAUGAGCCCCCAAAGGACUACCUUGUGCUGGCGAUCCUGGCCUACUUGCUGUGUUGUCCCAUAGGCAGUGCAGCCAUGUACUACUCUUCCCAGACAAGGCGCCAUAACUAUAGGGAUGAGCCAGAAUUGGCAGCUGAGACCUCUGAGACAACCUUCGUACUCUCAGUCAUAGCAAUUUCUUUGGGAUGCAUCGGUAUACUCAACACCUGGAUUGUGAUCAUGAUAACUGUAUUUGCUCGGUAACCUCCUUUUCAGCUCAUGAACAAACCAUCAAAUAUAUAACA